rnacentral:rRNA from 1 species
GAUGAACGCUGGCGGCGUGCCUAAUACAUGCAAGUCGAGCGAAUGGAUUAAGAGCUUGCUCUUAUGAAGUUAGCGGCGGACGGGUGAGUAACACGUGGGUAACCUGCCCAUAAGACUGGGAUAACUCCGGGAAACCGGGGCUAAUACCGGAUAACAUUUUGAACCGCAUGGUUCGAAAUUGAAAGGCGGCUUCGGCUGUCACUUAUGGAUGGACCCGCGUCGCAUUAGCUAGUUGGUGAGGUAACGGCUCACCAAGGCAACGAUGCGUAGCCGACCUGGGAGGGUGAUCGGCCACACUGGGACUGAGACACGGCCCAGAUUCCUACGGGAGGCAGCAGUAAGGAAUCUUCCGCAAUGGACGAAAGUCUGACGGAGCAACGCCGCGUGAGUGAUGAAGGCUUUCGGGUCGUAAAACUCUGUUGUUAGGGAAGAACAAGUGCUAGUUGAAUAAGCUGGCACCUUGACGGUACCUAACCAGAAAGCCACGGCUAACUACGUGCCAGCCGCCGCCGUAA